UACGUAGGGGGCAAGCGUUGUCCGGAUUUAUUGGGCGUAAAGAGCGUGUAGGCGGCCAGGUAGGUCCGUUGUGAAAACUCGAGGCUCAACCUCGAGACGUCGGCGGAAACCCUCUGGCUAGAGUCCGGAAGAGGAGAGUGGAAUUCCCCGGUGUAGCGGUGAAAUGUGUAGAGAUCGGGAGGAACACCGGUGGCGAAGGCGGGUCUCUGGGCAUCUCCUGACGCUGAGGCGCGAAAGCGUGGGGAGCAAACGGG
rnacentral:rRNA from 1 species